rnacentral:rRNA from 1 species
UGAGUAACCUGCCCUUAACUCUGGGAUAAGCCUGGGAAACUGGGUCUAAUACCGGAUAUGACUCCUCAUCGCAUGGUGGGGGGUGGAAAGCUUUAUUGUGGUUUUGGAUGGACUCGCGGCCUAUCAGCUUGUUGGUGAGGUAAUGGCUCACCAAGGCGACGACGGGUAGCCGGCUGAGAGGGUGACCGGCCACACUGGGACUGAGACACGGCCCAGACCUCCGUACGGGAGGCAG